rnacentral:rRNA from 1 species
GAGUUUGAUCAUGGCUCAGGAUGAACGCUGGCGGCGUGCCUAACACAUGCAAGUCGAGCGAGAAUUUGUGGAAUGCGGACUUCGGUCCAAGUGAAAUGAAGGAAAGCGGCGGACGGGUGAGUAACGCGUGGGCAACCUGCCCCAUACAAAGGGAUAGCCACUGGAAACGGUGAUUAAUACCAUAUGAGGCUUUAGUGUCGCAUGACACAGAAGCUAAAGAUUUAUCGGUAUGGGAUGGGCCCGCGUCUGAUUAGCUAGUUGGUGAGGUAACAGCUCACCAAGGCGACGAUCUGUAGCCGACCUGAGAGGGUGAUCGGCCACACUGGAACUGAGACACGGUCCAGACUCCUACGGGAGGCAGCAGUGGGGAAUAUUGCACAAUGGGCGCAAGCCUGAUGCAGCAACGCCGUGUGAGUGAUGAAGGCCUUCGGGUCGUAAAACUCUGUCCUAUGGGAAGAAACAAAUGACGGUACCAUAGGAGGAAGCCCCGGCUAACUACGUGCCAGCAGCCGCGGUAC